rnacentral:rRNA from 1 species
AUUGCCCUAGUAACGGCGAGUGAAGCGGCAACAGCUCAAAUUUGAAAUCUGGCUCUUUCAGGGUCCGAGUUGUAAUUUGUAGAGGGUGCUUUGGCGUUGACUGUGGUCUAAGUUCCUUGGAACAGGACGUCGCAGAGGGUGAGAAUCCCGUAUGUGGCCGCCAGUCUUCGCCGUGUAAAGCCCCUUCGACGAGUCGAGUUGUUUGGGAAUGCAGCUCUAAAUGGGAGGUAAAUUUCUUCUAAAGCUAAAUAUUGGCCAGAGACCGAUAGCGCACAAGUAGAGUGAUCGAAAGAUGAAAAGCACUUUGGAAAGAGAGUCAAAAAGCACGUGAAAUUGUUGAAAGGGAAGCGCUUGCAGCCAGACUUGCCUGUAGUUGCUCAUCCGGGCUUUUGCCCGGUGCACUCUUCUAUGGGCAGGCCAGCAUCAGUCCUGGCGGUUGGAUAAAUGUCUGCACAACGUACCUCUCCUCGGGGAGGACUUAUAGGGCAGGCGGCAUACAACCAGCCGGGAUUGAGGUCCGCGCAUCUGCUAGGAUGCUGGCGUAAUGGCUGUCAGCGGCCCCGUCUUGAAAACACGGACCAAGGGAGUCUAACAUCUAUGCGAGUGUUUUGGGUGUCAAGCCCCGAGCGCGUAAUGAAAGGUCAACGGGAGGUGGGGAACCCCCUCGGGGUGGCACCAAUCCAACCGGAUCCUGAAUGUCCUUCGGGAUGGAAUUUGGAGUAAAGAGCCAUAGCUUCUUGGGGAACCCCAAAAGAAUGGGUGAAACUUAUGCCUUGAAAUUGGGGUGGAAGUCC